rnacentral:rRNA from 1 species
GAUGAACGCUGGCGGCGUGCCUAAUACAUGCAAGUCGAGCGAACGGACGAGAAGCUUGCUUCUCUGAUGUUAGCGGCGGACGGGUGAGUAACACGUGGAUAACCUACCUAUAAGACUGGGAUAACUUCGGGAAACCGGAGCUAAUACCGGAUAAUAUUUUGAAUCGCAUGGUUCAAAAGUGAAAGACGGUCUUGCUGUCACUUAUAGAUGGAUCCGCGCUGCAUUAGCUAGUUGGUAAGGUAACGGCUUACCAAGGCAACGAUGCAUAGCCGACCUGAGAGGGUGAUCGGCCACACUGGAACUGAGACACGGUCCAGACUCCUACGGGAGGCAGCAGUAGGGAAUCGUCCGCAAUGGGCGAAAGCCUGACGGAGCAACGCCGCGUGAGUGAUGAAGGUCUUCGGAUCGUAAAACUCUGUUAUUAGGGAAGAACAUAUGUGUAAGUAACUGUGCACAUCUUGACGGUACCUAAUCAGAAAGCCACGGCUAACUACGUG